UAGGGAAUUUUGCGCAAUGGGGGAAACCCUGACGCAGCAACACCGCGUGAAUGUUAAGCCCUUCGGGGUGUAAAGUUCUGUCAGUAGGGACGAAUUUUGACUGUACCUACAAAGGAAGCACCGGCUAACUCCGUGCCAGCAGCCGCGGUAAUACGGGGGGUGCAAGCGUUGUCCGGAAUCAUUGGGCGUAAAGGGUGCGUAGGCGGUUUGGUCAGUCAUCUGUCAAAUACCGGGGCUCAACCCCGGGCAGCGGAUGAAACUGCCAGACUUGAGUACAGUAGAGGUAGGCGGAAUGCGCGAUGUAGCGGUGAAAUGCAUAGAUAUUAGGAGGAACACCGGUGGCGAAGGCGGCUUACUGGACUGUAACUGACGUUGAGGCUCGAAAGCGUGGGGAGCAAACA
rnacentral:rRNA from 1 species